UACGGAGGGUGCAAACGUUGCUCGGAAUCAUUGGGCGUAAAGCGCACGUAGGCGGCCUGUUAAGUCGGGUGUGAAAGCCCUGGGCUCAACCCAGGAAGUGCACUCGAAACUGGCAGGCUUGAAUAUGGAAGAGGGUUGCGGAAUUCCCGGUGUAGAGGUGAAAUUCGUAGAUAUCGGGAGGAACACCAGUGGCGAAGGCGGCGACCUGGGCCAAUAUUGACGCUGAGGUGCGAAAGCGUGGGGAGCAAACAGG
rnacentral:rRNA from 1 species